UACGUAGGGGGCGAGCGUUGUCCGGAAUUAUUGGGCGUAAAGAGCGUGUAGGCGGUUCGGUAAGUCUGCCGUGAAAACCUGAGGCUCAACCUCGGGCGUGCGGUGGAUACUGCCGGGCUAGAGGACGGUAGAGGCGAGUGGAAUUCCCGGUGUAGCGGUGAAAUGCGCAGAUAUCAGGAGGAACACCGGUGGCGAAGGCGGGUCUCUGGGCCGAUACUGACGCUGAGGAGCGAAAGCGUGGGGAGCGAACAGG
rnacentral:rRNA from 1 species